AUUGAACGCUGGCGGCAGACCUAACACAUGCAAGUCGAGCGGAUGAAGAGAGCUUGCUCUCUGAUUUAGCGGCGGACGGGUGAGUAAUGCCUAGGAAUCUGCCUGGUAGUGGGGGAUAACGUCCGGAAACGGGCGCUAAUACCGCAUACGUCCUACGGGAGAAAGCAGGGGACCUUCGGGCCUUGCGCUAUCAGAUGAGCCUAGGUCGGAUUAGCUAGUUGGUGAGGUAAUGGCUCACCAAGGCUACGAUCCGUAACUGGUCUGAGAGGAUGAUCAGUCACACUGGAACUGAGACACGGUCCAGACUCCUACGGGAGGCAGUAGUGGGGAAUAUUGGACAAUGGGCGAAAGCCUGAUCCAGCCAUGCCGCGUGUGUGAAGAAGGUCUUCGGAUUGUAAAGCACUUUAAGUUGGGAGGAAGGGCAGUAAGUUAAUACCUUGCUGUUUUGACGUUACCGACAGAAUAAGCACCGGCUAACUUCGUGCCAGCCGCCGCGGUAACAC
rnacentral:rRNA from 1 species